rnacentral:sRNA from 1 species
AGACGACACUCGGGAUCUUUCUUAGAGC